AACGAACGCUGGCGGCAUGCCUAACACAUGCAAGUCGAACGAGACCUUCGGGUCUAGUGGCGCACGGGUGCGUAACGCGUGGGAACCUGCCCUUAGGUUCGGAAUAACUCCCCGAAAGGGGUGCUAAUACCGGAUAAUGUCUUCGGACCAAAGAUUUAUCGCCUUUGGAUGGGCCCGCGUUGGAUUAGCUAGUUGGUAGGGUAAAAGCCUACCAAGGCGACGAUCCAUAGCUGGUCUGAGAGGAUGAUCAGCCACACUGGGACUGAGACACGGCCCAGACUCCUACGGGAGGCAGCAGUGGGGAAUAUUGGACAAUGGGCGAAAGCCUGAUCCAGCAAUGCCGCGUGAGUGAUGAAGGCCUGAGGGUUGUAAAGCUCUUUUACCCGGGAUGAUAAUGACAGUACCGGGAGAAUAAGCCCCGGCUAACUCCGUG
rnacentral:rRNA from 1 species